GCCCCGGCCUGGAGGCCGGGGCUCUUCGGGGCCGGCUCGGGGCCGGCUCGGGGCCGGCUCGGGGCCGGCUCGGGGUC
rnacentral:tRNA from 1 species